rnacentral:tRNA from 1 species
AGUUAAUAAGCUUAUAAGCACUAUGUUUUGAAAACAUAAGAAAGAAGUUUAAAUCUUCUAUUAACUU